rnacentral:rRNA from 1 species
AAAGUUGAAAAGGACUUUGAAGAGAGAGUUCAAGAGUGCGCGAAACUGCUCGGAGGUAAACGGGUGGGCCCUCGAACGGUCCUCGCCCGAUGGUUCGGCCGGAGAGGAGCGAGCGCGUUGGCGAGAKGAGUUCCGCGAAGGAUGUCGUCCGCUUUCGCGGUGCUCGGGACUCCCGGUGCAUUCCAUCCGGUAUGGACGUCGUAGCCGGUUGGGCGUGGUCAGCCUGAAGAACGAGCGAUGGCGGGUGGCGGUGGAGUCUCUUCGCCGUGUCUGGCCGGCUCGUUCGCGGCGUGAUCCCCGACCGAGGACGAGAUCUCUUCUUGGAGAUUUGCCGCGCUCUCGCCCGAGCGAGCGGGUUUUCCCGCGGUGAGCGCACGCGGCUGACGACACGCAUCGGUCGCUCACCCGACCCGUCUUGAAACACGGACCAAGGAGUCUAACGUGUGCGCGAGUCAGUGGGACUCGAUCAAGCCCACGGGCAGAACGAAAGCGAAUCGCGUCGGGAUCCGCGCUGCUCGCAGCGGGGCGCACCGGCGGCCUGACGCCUGCGUAGGCGCCGGAGCAAGAGCGUACACGUUGGGACCCGAAAGACGGUGAACUAUUCCCGGGCAGGACGAAGCCGGGGGAAACUCCGGUGGAGGUUCGCAGCGGUUCUGACGUGCAAUUCGAUCGUCAAACCCGGG